UUAAGCGACUAAGCGUACACGGUGGAUGCCCUGGCAGUCAGAGGCGAUGAAGGACGUGCUAAUCUGCGAAAAGCGUCGGUAAGGUGAUAUGAACCGUUAUAACCGGCGAUGUCCGAAUGGGGAAACCCAGUGCAAUUCGUUGCACUAUCGUUAACUGAAUACAUAGGUUAACGAGGCGAACCGGGGGAACUGAAACAUCUAAGUACCCCGAGGAAAAGAAAUCAACCGAGAUUCCCCCAGUAGCGGCGAGCGAACGGGGAGCAGCCCAGAGUCUGAAUCAGCUUGUGUGUUAGUGGAACGGUCUGGAAAGUCCGACGGUACAGGGUGAUAGUCCCGUACACCAAAAUGCACAGGUUGUGAACUCGAAGAGUAGGGCGGGACACGUGGUAUCCUGUCUGAAUAUGGGGGGACCAUCCUCCAAGGCUAAAUACUCCUGACUGACCGAUAGUGAACCAGUACCGUGAGGGAAAGGCGAAAAGAACCCCGGCGAGGGGAGUGAAAAAGAACCUGAAACCGUGUACGUACAAGCAGUGGGAGCACCUUCGGGUGUGACUGCGUACCUUUUGUAUAAUGGGUCAGCGACUUAUAUUCUGUAGCAAGGUUAACCGUAUAGGGGAGCCGCAGGGAAACCGAGUCUUAACUGGGCGUUAAGUUGCAGGGUAUAGACCCGAAACCCGGUGAUCUAGCCAUGGGCAGGUUGAAGGUUGGGUAACACUAACUGGAGGACCGAACCGACUAAUGUUGAAAAAUUAGCGGAUGACUUGUGGCUGGGGGUGAAAGGCCAAUCAAACCGGGAGAUAGCUGGUUCUCCCCGAAAGCUAUUUAGGUAGCGCCUCGUGAACUCAUCUUCGGGGGUAGAGCACUGUUUCGGCUAGGGGGUCAUCCCGACUUACCAACCCGAUGCAAACUACGAAUACCGAAGAAUGUUAUCACGGGAGACACACGGCGGGUGCUAACGUCCGUCGUGAAGAGGGAAACAACCCAGACCGCCAGCUAAGGUCCCAAAGUCAUGGUUAAGUGGGAAACGAUGUGGGAAGGCACAGACAGCCAGGAUGUUGGCUUAGAAGCAGCCAUCAUUUAAAGAAAGCGUAAUAGCUCACUGGUCGAGUCGGCCUGCGCGGAAGAUGUAACGGGGCUAAACCAUGCACCGAAGCUGCGGCAGCGACACUAUGUGUUGUUGGGUAGGGGAGCGUUCUGUAAGCCUGCGAAGGUGUGCUGUGAGGCAUGCUGGAGGUAUCAGAAGUGCGAAUGCUGACAUAAGUAACGAUAAAGCGGGUGAAAAGCCCGCUCGCCGGAAGACCAAGGGUUCCUGUCCAACGUUAAUCGGGGCAGGGUGAGUCGACCCCUAAGGCGAGGCCGAAAGGCGUAGUCGAUGGGAAACAGGUUAAUAUUCCUGUACUUGGUGUUACUGCGAAGGGGGGACGGAGAAGGCUAUGUUAGCCGGGCGACGGUUGUCCCGGUUUAAGCAUGUAGGCUGGUUAUCCAGGCAAAUCCGGAUAAUCAAGGCUGAGGUGUGAUGACGAGGCACUACGGUGCUGAAGUAACAAAUGCCCUGCUUCCAGGAAAAGCCUCUAAGCAUCAGGUAACAUCAAAUCGUACCCCAAACCGACACAGGUGGUCAGGUAGAGAAUACCAAGGCGCUUGAGAGAACUCGGGUGAAGGAACUAGGCAAAAUGGUGCCGUAACUUCGGGAGAAGGCACGCUGGUGUGUAGGUGAAGUCCCUGCGGAUGGAGCUGAGACCAGUCGAAGAUACCAGCUGGCUGCAACUGUUUAUUAAAAACACAGCACUGUGCAAACACGAAAGUGGACGUAUACGGUGUGACGCCUGCCCGGUGCCGGAAGGUUAAUUGAUGGGGUUAUCCGUAAGGAGAAGCUCUUGAUCGAAGCCCCGGUAAACGGCGGCCGUAACUAUAACGGUCCUAAGGUAGCGAAAUUCCUUGUCGGGUAAGUUCCGACCUGCACGAAUGGCGUAAUGAUGGCCAGGCUGUCUCCACCCGAGACUCAGUGAAAUUGAACUCGCUGUGAAGAUGCAGUGUACCCGCGGCAAGACGGAAAGACCCCGUGAACCUUUACUAUAGCUUGACACUGAACAUUGAGCCUUGAUGUGUAGGAUAGGUGGGAGGCUUUGAAGCGUGGACGCCAGUCUGCGUGGAGCCAACCUUGAAAUACCACCCUUUAAUGUUUGAUGUUCUAACGUUGGCCCCUGACCGGGGUUGCGGACAGUGUCUGGUGGGUAGUUUGACUGGGGCGGUCUCCUCCCAAAGCGUAACGGAGGAGCACGAAGGUUAGCUAAUCCUGGUCGGACAUCAGGAGGUUAGUGCAAUGGCAUAAGCUAGCUUGACUGCGAGCGUGACGGCGCGAGCAGGUGCGAAAGCAGGUCAUAGUGAUCCGGUGGUUCUGAAUGGAAGGGCCAUCGCUCAACGGAUAAAAGGUACUCCGGGGAUAACAGGCUGAUACCGCCCAAGAGUUCAUAUCGACGGCGGUGUUUGGCACCUCGAUGUCGGCUCAUCACAUCCUGGGGCUGAAGUAGGUCCCAAGGGUAUGGCUGUUCGCCAUUUAAAGUGGUACGCGAGCUGGGUUUAGAACGUCGUGAGACAGUUCGGUCCCUAUCUGCCGUGGGCGCUGGAGAAUUGAGGGGGGCUGCUCCUAGUACGAGAGGACCGGAGUGGACGCAUCACUGGUGUUCGGGUUGUCAUGCCAAUGGCACUGCCCGGUAGCUAAAUGCGGAAGAGAUAAGUGCUGAAAGCAUCUAAGCACGAAACUUGCCCCGAGAUGAGUUCUCCCUGAGACUUUAAGUCUCCUGAAGGAACGUUAAAGACGAUGACGUUGAUAGGCCGGGUGUGUAAGCGCAGCGAUGCGUUGAGCUAACCGGUACUAAUGAACCGUGAGGCUUAACCUU
rnacentral:rRNA from 1 species